UUUUAUUUCAAAUUUUCCACACAUUUGUAAAAAUUCAAAUUCAACCAGAUUUCCACAAUGGCAACAGCUGAAUGAACUAUGAUUAGGCAUUACCUGCUGAAAUGUAGUGAAUCUAGUCCAUUGACUGACAUAAUUCACUCCAGUGUUAGAGAUUCAUACUAACUGUGCCUGAUAGGUACCAGCUGAUCCGGGUUUUUAUGAGUUUUAGCCAAAUUUACCAUCCAUACAGAUUUGUGAGCUUUGGGUUGCAGAUUCAUCUAACCCAACAAAAUUAAGACAAAUAUUUAUUUGAAACCAUGUAAAGUGAGUUUCAUAGCACUCCUUUCUGCCCUCCUCUCAACAGGGUUGGACUUUCUCUUAUCCAUCUGUUGGAGGACCAUGAAAUCACCCUUCUAACUGCCCUGUCAGUAAUUCCCCUUAAGAGAAGAUGGCUUGGCCACUUUCUACUUCAUCUUGCCUCUUCAGAGAAUGUCUACACUGCAAUCAAAAGCCUGUGGCUGGCUCAUGCUAGCUGACUUGAGCUCACAGGGCUCAGGUUGUGGGGCUCUUUAACUGCAGCAUAGAUGUUCGAAGUCGGGCUAGAACCCGGGGUCUAGGACUAUGGGAGGGUUCAGAGGCUCAGACUGUAGCCCAAUCCCAAACAUCUAUACUGUAAUUAAUCAACCCUGUAGCCUGAGCCCCGUGAGCCUGAGUCAGCUGGCAUGGGCCAGCCACAGGUGUCUAACUGGAAUGUAGACGUACCUUUAGAGGCCAGCCAAUAGGUCUGCUCCCCCAUCAAGUAUCAUCGGGAAGUCAGAGAGCUACUCCUGCCCCAUUCUGUAACACUAAGAACAGGACAUGCUUCUUUAACAGUGCUUCUGACAUAGUUCAAAGCCCUUUAUCUCACGCCUGGGAUAAGAGACCCAAGAGUGCAUCACCAGAUUACGUAGUCCUCAAAAUGGCAAUAUCUAUAGUGAGGCAAAAGAUCUUGAGAAGUGGUAACAGCAUUGCAGGAGGAGCAUAUCCGAGCCCUGAUACUGCAGAAUGGAUUUUAAGGGUUGCAAGCCGGAUUCCUGUUACAUUGAACAUAGGGUUGGUGGAUAAGGCUAACCAACCUUUCAGACAGCGGGAGGAAAUGAUCAUCUAGCUGAGUUGUUGGGUGGGGAUAUAAGUGUGUAUACCUGUAUAUACCUAUAACAGACCAGAUAGAAAGUGUGAAAAAUUGGUACACUUUUUUUUCAGGGAGGGGGAUAUAGUUGCCUAUAUAAGACAAAGCCCCUAAUAUCAGGAUGACCCUGAUAUAUCAGGAUGUCUGGUCACCCUAAUCUGUUAUCUGUAUCGAUCUACAGCCUUUGUUCUUGGUAUUUUGUGUAACAAAGAGUGGGGUAUUUAUUUUAAAUUAUGUUAUUUUAUUUUUAAUAAAUUCUCAGAGGUUAACAAGUAAUGGAAAUCUGUAAAUUAUAGGUGAUUAUUAAUAUACUGAUAUACUCAAUUUUAAUUAUAAUCCAAUCCCUUUCAAGUUAAAUGAGAGAAUGAAAUAAAAAUCAUCCUGUUGUGGUCAAUUUCAAGAACUUUAUCAAGAAAAAGCACAAAUUUAAUCUUACAUUAACAAAUUUUGUUAUUCUCAUCAUAGUAAAAAGAGUAAACAAGUAAUAAGUAAAUACAUAGUGAAGCCAGUUAAAUAACUAGGAAAUGAAUGUAGCAGAAGUUUAAAAGAACAUUUUUCUGUUUACUAUACCAGUAAGGAUUACAAUAAAUUAUGAAAAAUCCAAUUAGACACAGAACAGUUUUCAAAUUUUGUAUCUGUACAGAUAAAUCCACAUUUCAAGAACAAUUCAUUACAAGAAUAAAGUUUUUGUAAACCAACCCAUACAAUAUAAAACAGUACAGUGAAGCCCCUUCAAAGCAAACUAAGCAGAGAAAGAAGUAGCAGAGAGAAAGAACAUGAGCAUUAUAUUGUGAAAGAUACUUAAUACAAAUGAUACCAAUACCAAAGGACUCUUGAGAAAGCCUGUGCCUUAAAUAGGAUUAAAAGGAAGGUUUAGCUUCCUAAAACAAUAAGAGUUUGGGUGAAGCUUGGACAACAUCAGUGGAAUUAGUCUGAAUUUUUGCAAAAAUUCUGCAAGUGGUAAUUGAAAUGAAAAGCUAACCAAAAUUGAAAAAAAUAAAUACAGUAAAUGUAAUAAAUACAUUUGCAAACUAGGUAACAAAGCUAGCUCUUUGACCUAUUUACAUCACCUACAAACUCUAUUGAGAUUUUGCACCCAGUUAAGGGCUUGGCAACUUCAGAAUUGAAGCAAGUCUUCACUUGAUUAAGUUCAGACACUCCUCAAGCAAGCAGUGAAAUGGAAGGAGAAGGCAAGUUACAAAUUUGCUAUAUUAUACACCCCUCUGCCCCAUCUAUCAAAAUUCUCAGAUUUUCUAUUACCCAUUCAUUUAAAAAUACAUUGAUUUCUUUUUAAAUAACAAAGAUUUUAGAGAUAUAAAAGAGAUUUAAGGCCCCAGUCCUGCAAGCUAUUCUGCACAGGCAGACCCAUUUUAUCAGCAAGGAACUUUAGUCAAGCCAAUAGGGGCUCACAAGACGGAAGGGUUCUGUCUGCAUGGACCAGCUUGCAGCAUUGGGGUUGUAGGCAUUCUUGUGAAGGGAGGAGCCUAAUAACCCAGUAUGAAUUUUAGGCUUUGAUCCUGCAAACAGUUUAAUUUUACUCAUAUGAAUAAUCCCACUGACAUCAAAGAGACUACUUGUGUGAGUAAAAUUAUGCACAUAGUUUAGCUGUCUGCUUCCACUGAUUCCAGUGGCAGCAGGAUCAGUUUGUGUUUGAAGGAGCCUAGAAGGGUUCUUUCACUGCCUCACUAUUAAACUUUUUUUCAGUUCUGUCAGAAAAGUUCCAAGCAAGUUCCUACAUCCAUGGUCUUUGGUCAGAAGUUGAUUUAGGAAUGAUCACAUAUCAUUUGCUGGAAUGGAAUUGAAAGAGGGUCCACAUGGAUCAGGCUCCAGGUUAAAUCUCUGAAUGGCCCAAUCAGUGCCCUACUCCCCCAAAAGGCACCAGAGACUCCAAGGUGCUGGAGGAGCUCCCAGCUAUCCCUCUGUGAGUGUCUCCCUCCCUUGUUGCUGGGGCUGUCCCACUUCGCUUCUGGGCCCAUGAUGUUCCCCCACGUGUUGAAGCAGGUGGAUGGCCUUUAGGAAUGUUCAUACAUCUGCUUCAAUGAACACCUGAGGGCAAAAGAGAUCCCAGGGUUUUAAAUAUCUGUGGCUUAGGAGCCGCUAAGGUCGGGGAUCAUCUUUUUGUUCAGUGUUUGCAGAACUUCCAGCACAACGAGGGCCUGGUUUAUGACUAGGGCUCUGAGGCACAACACUAAUUCAAAAAAUAAAUUAUAAUAACAGGACUCCAGAAGUAUUUCAAUUCAGGUUAUUUUUCUUUAACUGAAUGAUACAUUAGCCUUUUCUGCCCCCAUGUCAACCUGAAGAACAGCCAAGAGGAAAAGAGUUAAUAGAUAGCAAUAUCUAAAUCAAAACUGGCCCAUCAUUACUUUUGGAAGAGGCAAAAUUAAACACACUGUAAAAUGGAACUGUAGGAAAAUAUUUAGGGACAGGUCCACAUACCAAAUGAUGACAUACAAAGACAUGUCUUAUUUCACUACAUCACAAAAAGCUUGUUUAUUGAAAAGUCACCCAAAGAGACUGACAUGAUUGUUUCAUUGGAUUUGAGUGCCUGGUACAGUUUAAAUCCAUGAUGAUGGUUUUAUCAUAAUGCCAUAUACUGAUGUAAGGUCAGUACUGCAUCUUUGGCUCUAUUAUGGAAAAGGGUCCCAUAGAAUCUGUCUGAACUAUUUGUGCUACCCACGCUGAUUAUAGCACAAUGAAACACAAUAAAGCAUGAACAGUCUAUUCAGUAGCUUUCUCGUGAUAUUUUUUAAAGUAUCACUUUGCCAGACACCUGGAAAAAAAAGUCAAGAUGACACUAUAUUAGACUUUGGAAGAAAGUCUCCGUAUUCCUGGGGCUCUGGAUUCUCCUACUCUAUUGGAGCCAGAUUGGACUACACAAUAUUACCCCAACCUUUAACAGAAAGGGUUCUCUCCAUGUCAAGAAAAAAAUGCUAUAAACAAUUUAAUAUAAGCAAAUUACUGUAUAAGUCCAACAUUAGCUGUGAACAUUUGCAUUUCCAGGGCUUGAUAGAAUAUUUAAAUGCAAUAUGCUAUUGGUCAAUAUUCAACAGUAUUAUAUCGAUCAGUAUUCAACAUCCAAAAACAUUUAGUCCUGGCUGCUAGAGUUCUGGUUCUUAUUGGAGAUAACAUGGGCCACAAAUACCCUGACAUGUGAGCUCCAAACACCUGCUCUGACCACAGAUACACUGAGGAGUAUGAUUUCAUAUUGGGUAAAAUUCUGGCCCCACUGAUGCCAAUGGGAGUUUAGACAUUGGCAUCAACACAGACAUGCAUUAUUCUUAGACAAACUCUUACUUCAUCAGGAAUUUUAUCCUCAGAACCCUUUAAACUGAAUUGCUUGAUGGGAAGCUCUUUGAAUCAGUGGCUGUGUCUUCUUUUGUGUAUGUACAGUGCCUAGCACAUUGUUAAUGCUACCAGAAACAAACAAAUAAUAACAACAACAAUGUGGGUAUGCAUAAGAUUUUUCCACUUUGUGGGAUGCUGCCCUUAGUGCUACACCAUCAGCAUCCUUCUCCCGCUCCACCCCCCGUUUUCUAUUAGUAAUCAUAAUACCCUAGUUCCAGUUGCAGAAUUACAUGAGGACUGGGUUUCAUAGAAUCAUAGAAUAUCAGGGUUGGAAGGGACCUCAGGAGGUCAUCUAGUCCAACCCCCUGCUCAAAGCAGAACCAAUCCCCAACUAAAUCAGCCCAGCCAGGGCUUUGUCAAGCCUGACCUUAAAAACCUCAAAGGAAGGAGAUUCCACCACCUCCCUAAAUAAUCCAUUCCAGUGCUUCACCAGCCUCCUAGUGAAAAAGUUUUUCCUAAUAUUCAACCUAAACCUCCUCCACUGCAACUUGAGACCAUUACUCCUUGUUCUGUCAUCUGCUACCACUGAGAACAGUCUAGAUCCAUCCUCUUUGGAAUCCCCUUUCAGGUAGUUGAAAGCAGCUAUCAAAUCCCCCCUCAUUCUUCUCUUCCGCAGACUAAACAAUCCCAGUUCCCUCAGCCUCUCCUCAUAAGUCAUGUGUUCCAGUCCCCUAAUCAUUUUUGUUGCCCUCUGCUGGACGCUUUCCAAUUUUUCCACAUCCUUCUUGUACUGUGGGGCCCAAAACUGGACACAGUACUCCAGAUGAGGCCUCACCAAUGUCGAAUAGAGGGGAACGAUCACGUCCCUCGAUCUGCUGCCAAUGCCCCUACUUAUACAGCCCAAAAUGCCGUUAGCCUUCUUGGCAGCAAGGGCACACUGUUGACUCAUAUCCAGCUUCUCGUCCACUGUAACCCCUAAGUCCUUUUCUGCAGAACUGCUGCCUAGCCAUUUGGUCCCUAGUCUGUGGCGGUACAUGGGAUUCUUCCGUCCUAAGUGCAGGACUCCGCACUUGUCUUUGUUGAACCUCAUCAGAUUUCUUUUGGCCCAAUCCUCUAAUUUGUCUAGGUCCCCCUGUAUCCUAUCCCUACCCUGCAGCAUAUCUACCAUUCCUCCCAGUUUAGUGUCAUCUGCAAGCUUGCUGAGGGUGCAGUCCAUGCCAUCCUCCAAAUCAUUAAUGAAGACAUUGAACAAAACCGGCCCCAGGACCGAUCUUUGGAGCACUCCACUUGAUACCAGGUACUAACUAGACAUGGAGCCUUUGAUCACAACCCCUUGAGCCUGACGAUCUACCCAGCUUUCAGUCCAUUAAUCCAGCCCAUACUUCUUUAACUUGCUGGCAAGAAUACUGUGGGAGACUGUAACAAAAGCUUUGCUAAAGUCAAGGAAUAACAUGUCCACUGCUUUCCCCUUAUACACAGAGGAGGCUGGUUACUAAAAGCUGGCUAGGUAGGAACUUGCACUUGUGGGUGCCAGCCUGCUGAUAAAGGCUAAGCUUCUAUUGACUCAGGCAGCAGGCAUGUUUAAGCUGCACAAAUAUUGAUGAGCAUAGAUGCUAUAAAUGGGAAGAUGUAGAAAGGUAAGCCUGGCUUGACAUAAGUAAUUAAAUAUGGGGGAAACUUCAUGUCUUGGAAGACAAGAUUAGAGAGGGAAAUUGAUUAGCAGACUGAAGAUGAAAUAUUUGUGGUAACUAUGAUAAUAAAUGGGUCAGUAGGCUAAGAGAUAAUGUCUGAGCUAGCUCAGAUAACAGGGGGAACACCCAAGGAAUCAUUUACUAUGAACAAGAUAACAAUGGACAAGAUAAGUCAGGAAUGUGAAGAUGCGGUAAAGAGUAGGCUAAGCAAGGACAAGGCAUGAAGAGCGCAUGCUGUCCAGGGAUGGUUCCUAUACAGUAACCAAGCCAACUAAAUAUGCAUGAUGCAAUGUAUAGUAAAUGCAAUGAGAAGUGUAAAUGUAUAAAAAGGUUUCUGUGUAACUUUAGAUCAGUGAUGUACCCUGCAUCCGCCCCUGGCUUUUGAGUCUGAUCAACUCAGCACAGUGUUGCUGUGCCAAAUACAGAUAACCGAGUGACAAAGUUUGGAGUUGAACUAAGUUCUUGGGAAGCUGAGUGGAAAGAGGUCUCAAAGGGAGUCGCAACAUCGUGGUGCCAUGACCCAGAGGCACCCAGUGUAUUGUCUGGCUUGCGGAAAUAUUGGGUUGUUUUGUAUGGCCCUUGGUAACUAACACUUACCUAUGGGAAGGGAAGAUGCUCUUGCUUCCCUGGACUUUCUCUAGCAGUAUUUGGAAGGUCUGCAAAAUUGAGAGACGGGAUGAAGACUAUUUCUGGGUCCCAAUCAACUGAAUGGGCUGAUUGGGAAUUAACUCAUGUACCCCAAAGGGAGAUUUUCAAAAAGUGCCAAUGGGGGAAGAUAAAAUAAGGGAAUUGUGUCAUGUUGUGUUCGAUUUGUUAUAGCCAGAUACUUUAGAGGAAGGUGCAUUUGAAAUAAAACAGUCAAGGGAGACUGUAUGGCCUAAAGGACUGUGCCCUGGACAGGGAACUGUGAGACCUCAGUUCUAGCCCUGGCUCUUCCCCUGGGCUGCUGGAUGAUGUUGGGCAAAUUGUUUCAGCUCUCAGAGACUUAGUUAUACUUCCUCUGUAAAAUGAGAAAAAGGAUUCUGACCUCCCUUAUAAAGCAUUUUGAGAGCUACCACUGUAAAGUUCUAUAUAACAGCUGGUGGUGUUAGCAUUAUGCAAAUAAUGCUUCCUCAUUAACUAUUUAUGGAUAAGAGAUCUGUCUUUUAUAUAAUUUUCUAUUGUUAUUCAUAUCCCUUUAUAGACAUCAUAGGGCUUUACAUAAUAAAUCUUUCCUCAAACAUUUUGCCAAAAUUGGAAGCCUUUUUUACUGUUUCUGUACCUGAAGACUACCACCCCCCACCAUGCCAGCCACACCACCUUGCAUAGUAAGUAUAGGACAGAUCUAACAAAGAAGGCCUUUUGGGAUUUUCUGACUUUGUUAAGCCUUCCAGAUGAUGAGCGAACAAGGUUGUGCUCAUGCUAAAGGGCUAGUUGCCUUGGCAACAACAUCUUGAACAUGUUCAUGAACUUCAAGGUAAACCUGUCUUUGCAGCUGGACCCUGCAAUAUGCUAUAGAGACCUAGUGUGCUCAAAGGCUUUUCUGUUACAAGCAGAUUUUAUAAUUUAGGGGAGUCUUCCUGGCUAAGUGUUAUGAUAGUUCCCAAAAUGAGUGACUGCAAUAGCAAGAUCAGGAGAAAAAGAAUUAACA